AUUCAUCUGACGCGUCCCAAAUAGGACGAAACGCGCGUCCUGGAU
rfam:Schistosoma mattheei strain Denwood, Zambia genome assembly, scaffold: SMTD_scaffold0000105